rnacentral:rRNA from 1 species
GAUGAACGCUGGCGGCGUGCCUAAUACAUGCAAGUCGAGCGAACGGACGAGAAGCUUGCUUCUCUGAUGUUAGCGGCGGACGGGUGAGUAACACGUGGAUAACCUACCUAUAAGACUGGGAUAACUUCGGGAAACCGGAGCUAAUACCGGAUAAUAUUUUGAACCGCAUGGUUCAAAAGUGAAAGACGGUCUUGCUGUCACUUAUAGAUGGAUCCGCGCUGCAUUAGCUAGUUGGUAAGGUAACGGCUUACCAAGGCAACGAUGCGUAGCCGACCUGAGAGGGUGAUCGGCCACACUGGAACUGAGACACGGUCCAGACUCCUACGGGAGGCAGCAGUAGGGAAUCUUCCGCAAUGGGCGAAAGCUUGACGGAGCAACGCCGCGUGAGUGAUGAAGGUCUUCGGAUCGUAAAACUCUGUUAUUAGGGAAGAACAAAUGUGUAAGUAACUAUGCACAUCUUGACGGUACCUAAUCAGAAAGCCACGGCUAACUACGUG